ACUAACAAAAAUAUAGAAAGAAGAAGAAAUGAAGAAGCAAUGAUGACCAAUCUCUCUCUUCUUCAUAGUAAGAGCACUGAUUUUUAUCUUUCUCAUAGGAAUUGAAUGGAGAGCAAGAAAUGAAAUUACAAAACCCUCAUAAAUAAGGACAAUAAUCUCUAUCAAAGCAAGGGAAUUAGCCUUCCACUCUCCAGAUACCCAAGCCAAGCGACGUCACUCCAGCGUCACGCCAUUGUCGAUUUGUUCUACCACCGUCUGUUGCAGUUUUCGGCCGUGCUCUCUCUCCCUCGAGUUCCAUCAUGCUCCCUCUCCCUCAUACUCUAUUCGAGUGAAGGUUUCACAUAUUGUUUUUGGGUGAAAUAAUAAUAAACUCAUAUCAGUUGCAAUUUGGAGCUACAUCUGUGUGACUAUCAAAGACACAAGUAAAGGAUUGUAGCUGAAUUUUUCAAAAGUUGAAUUGUCCCAAUUUUGGAGGACCCUGCUGAAGAUCUCAGCUUGAAUAAGAUCUUGGAAGAAAAAAUUAGAAGGAUCUCAGCUUGCAUGUUCUAUAGCAUAUUGAGGAGUUAGGCAUUGGUGGUAUCAAUUCUGUGAUUCUGGUUUAUAAUAGUGCUAUGGCAAACAAGAAAGACAAAGCUUUAAGGUCAAGCAUCUUAAUGAGAGAUAUCAUCUAUGAAUAAGAAGAGCAAAUUGAAUUAGGUCCUGUCAAUCCCAAUUAAUAUCAUCUAUGAAGAAAAAUAGAGGAUUGAAAAAUGGUUCUAUGGUUAAUAUCAUUGGUGAGUUAGAAGAUACUGCAUCAAGCCCUUCACAAACACCUUUAGUAUUUCAUACUAAUGAUGAUGGAAAAGUUUGACAUCGGAGUACUUGGUAAAGCGUGGGUUUUCAAAACCUUGGGUUCAUCUUGGAGGACAUAUAAAAGUCGGUUGAAAACACAGUAUUUUAAGGAAAACAUGUCACUAGCUUACAAUAUGAAAAAUUGUCCUCGUACUGUUUCACUUGAUCAUUAGAAGAUUCUUAUUCAAUUUUGGAGCUUUGAUAUGAUUAAGGAACAAAGCAAGAAGAAUAAAGCUAGUAGAGCAAAGAAUACAAGUCAAUAUACAACAGGAUCAAAAACAUUUGCUGAAAUACGUGAAGAAGAGGCAAUGAAAAAUCCUGAUAGAAGAGAACCAUCUCGCAGGCUCUUUAUUCUUCUUCUACUCAAGAGAUUUUCGACUUGAAAUUGGAGAAAAAGAAGCAUGAUCAACAUAAGAAAAAAUUAAAGAAGAAGAAAGUGGUGUGUUAGCAAUAUUGAGAUGACAAAUUAAAAAAGAUUAGAUUUUAUGUUCUAUUUUGU